GGAGAGGUGACAGAGUGGCCGAUUGUGCUGGUCUCGAAAACCAGUGUCCUGCAAGGGACCGGGGGUUCGAAUCCCCCCCUCUCCGC
rnacentral:tRNA from 1 species